rnacentral:lncRNA from 1 species
GGAUGGUAACAUGGAGUGAGAAUAGGCUAUGGUCACUAAAGGAGGAAUCCUUGUUCAAUUCUAUUUGAGCAAUAAUAUCUGCACUAGGAGAUUUAAUAAUGCUAUAUCCUUAAGUGGUAAUUGUAAUGCUUAUUGGAAACUUAAUAGAGCUACUAUAAUUCUUAAUAAAGAGGCUCUAAAUAUCUUUACUCGAAGCACCCUUUCCAUUUUUUGUAGGGAUGAUAAAAGUGUAGGCCCAUACAUAAUCAGGUAACUUCACAAUCAAUUUAAGGUACUCUC